rnacentral:rRNA from 1 species
UACGUAGGGUGCGAGCGUUAAUCGGAAUUACUGGGCGUAAAGCGUGCGCAGGCGGUUUUGCAAGCCGGAUGUGAAAUCCCCGGGCUUAACCUGGGAAUGGCAUUUGGGACUGCAAGGCUGGAGUGCGGCAGAGGGGACUGGAAUUCCUGGUGUAGCAGUGAAAUGCGUAGAUAUCAGGAGGAACACCGAUGGCGAAGGCAGGUCUCUGGGCUGACACUGACGCUCAUGCACGAAAGCGUGGGGAGCAAACAGG